rnacentral:rRNA from 1 species
UACAGAGGUCCCAAGCGUUGUUCGGAUUUACUGGGCGUAAAGGGUGCGUAGGUGGUUGGGUAAGUCUGAUGUGAAAUCUCCGGGCUCAACCCGGAAAUGGCAUUGGAAACUACCUGACUAGAGGGUUGGAGGGGGGACUGGAAUACUUGGUGUAGCAGUGAAAUGCGUAGAUAUCGGGAGGAACACCUGUGGCGAAGGCGGCCCCCUGGUUGGAUACUGACGCUGAGACGCGAAAGCGUGGGGAGCAAACAGG